GUCGGGGUAGCUCAGCUGGUUAGAGCAUGGCAUUCAUAAAGCCAAGGUCGUGGGUUCGAUUCCCACCCUCGACA
rnacentral:tRNA from 1 species